CCCGCGGGUGGGUGGGAAAGAGAGGGUAAAGGACCCCGAGGAACGGCGCUUGCGUUUCGCCAGGCCGUCGCCAUCUGCAGCUGGGCGGAGCUGUGGCUUCAGUCUCACAGCCCCAGCAGAUAUACGAGGAAAGCUGAGGAAGAAAAUUGAGGGUGGGACACCAGAGCUCCGGCGUCCAGUUUGGCCUGAAGAAAACUGGCGAAGCAGAGUCCAGGGUUCUGUGAGAAGCUGGACUGUGUUUAGAAGAAAAUCCUUUGAAGCCCACCAACAGAAGAUUAGAGACAAGUUUGUAGUUCCACAAAGCCAUUUAGCUUGGAGUAGCAAAAGAGAAAAAAAAACAAAGUCAAAACUUAAGAAUCUCUCAAUUUUAGGAAGUUAAGAAGGGAUGGAUUGGGUUGGGUGAUUUUAAGGCCUGUCUUGUGAAGUGGGGAACUGGUUAGAAUUGGAAGAAGAGUAGUUUGCUGGUUAAUUCAACGUUCAAAAUGGAAACUAUUAACUAUGCAGAAAUUUUUGUCUGAUUGAGGAAUUUUUUUAUGUUUUAUUUGGGCUGUGAAUCCAUUUCUUUGCUUUAUGAGUUAAGAUCUUGAAGAGGGCCCAUCACUGGGUUUGAUAGUAUCCCCUAAUUUAAUUCUCUGAGACUUUGUCCUGGCAACAUCAUAAUAGAUUUCUAGAUCUACAUC